rnacentral:rRNA from 1 species
GUACACGCUGUGACUAGCAUAUCAAUAAGCGGAGGAAAAGAAACUAACAAGGAUUCCCCUAGUAACGGCGAGUGAAGCGGGAAGAGCUCAAAUUUGAAAUCUUGAAGGGUUUCCCUUUACGAAUUGUAGUUUAAAGAAGUGUUUUCUGUUGAGGUUUUGGUAAAAGUUCUUUGGAAUAGGACAUCAUAGAGGGCGAGAAUCCCGUAUUUGACCUUUACUUUCAACUUUGUGAUACACUUUCAAAGAGUCGGAUUGUUUGGGAUGCAGUCCAAAAUGGGUGGUAAAUUUCAUCUAAAGCUAAAUAUUGGCGAGGGACCGAUAGCGAACAAGUACCGUGAGGGAAAGAUGAAAAGAACUUUGAAAAGAGAGUUAAACAGUACGUGAAAUUGUCAAAAGGGAAGCGUUUGACACCAGGUGUUGUUUUUCUGAAAAUCAAUUAAAGAACUGUUUAUGCUAAGUUGUUUAGACUUUAUCAGCUAACUGUUUAGUUUUGAGCUUUUCUUUAAUGCACUUUUCAGUUAACAAGUCAACAUCAAUUUCUUUUGCUGUAAAAAAGCUUGAGGAAGGUGGCUUGAGAUUCGUCUUAAGUGUUUAUAGCCUCUUGCCUAUGCAGUCGGAGAGAUUGAGGUCUGCAGCGUAGAUCCUUCGGGGCUAAAUGCAUUUGUGCUAAGUUAUAGCAUUUUAUAGACAACUUGUUGACUAUGAUUUGUCUUGUAGCUUACUCGCUUAUGUUAUUUUACCUACGCUUAGGAUGUUGAAGAUGUAGCACAUCAU